rnacentral:rRNA from 1 species
UACGAAGGGGGCGAGCGUUGUUCGGAUUUACUGGGCGUAAAGGGCGCGCAGGCGGCUUUUCAAGUCAGGCGUGAAAGCCCCGGGCUUAACCUGGGAACUGCGUCUGGGACUGAGAGGCUUGAGAUCGGGAGAGGAGAGUGGAAUUCCCAGUGUAGAGGUGAAAUUCGUAGAUAUUGGGAAGAACACCGGUGGCGAAGGCGGCUCUCUGGACCGAUACUGACGCUGAGGCGCGAAAGCGUGGGGAGCGAACAGG